CCUACGGGAGGCAGCAGUGGGGAAUUUUGGACAAUGGGCGAAAGCCUGAUCCAGCAAUGCCGCGUGAGUGAAGAAGGCCUUCGGGUUGUAAAGCUCUUUUGUCAGGGAAGAAACGGUGAGGGCUAAUAUCCCUUGCUAAUGACGGUACCUGAAGAAUAAGCACCGGCUAACUACGUGCCAGCAGCCGCGGUAAUACGUAGGGUGCAAGCGUUAAUCGGAAUUACUGGGCGUAAAGCGUGCGCAGGCGGUUUUGUAAGUCUGUCGUGAAAUCCCCGGGCUCAACCUGGGAAUUGCGAUGGAGACUGCAAGGCUAGAAUCUGGCAGAGGGGGGGUAGAAUUCCACGUGUAGCAGUGAAAUGCGUAGAGAUGUGGAGGAACACCGAUGGCGAAGGCAGCCCCCUGGGUCAAGAUUGACGCUCAUGCACGAAAGCGUGGGGAGCAAACAGGAUUAGAUACCCUGGUAGUCCACGCCCUAAACGACUGUCUACUAGUUGUCGGGUUUUAAUUAACUUGGUAACGCAGCUAACGCGUGAAGUAGACCGCCUGGGGAGUACGGGUCGCAAGAUUAAAACCUCAAAGGAAUUGACGG
rnacentral:rRNA from 1 species